AUACCUUCAGGUCAUCUGGAGCCUUACAGGAUUGCCACUGCUGUGUUUUCUCCUUCUGAUUAUCAAGUACAAAACGUGAAAGAGUAUUAUGAGCAAAAUGAUCCUGGCUUUGUUUACCACACAUACUCCACCAUCCCUGAUUAGUCCAUUCUUUUUUCUGUCAAGCUGAAGCCAUGAAGAUAUGCUGAAAUAAGAUUUUCUUAUUUCUUGAAGAGGAGACAAAACUACUCAGAUAAAU